rnacentral:rRNA from 1 species
UCGAACGGCAGCGCGGACUUCGGUCUGGCGGCGAGUGGCGAACGGGUGAGUAAUGCAUCGGAACGUACCUUUCAGUGGGGGAUAACGUAGCGAAAGUUACGCUAAUACCGCAUAUUCUGUGAGCAGGAAAGCAGGGGAUCGCAAGACCUUGCGCUGAUGGAGCGGCCGAUGUCAGAUUAGCUAGUUGGUGGGGUAAAGGCUCACCAAGGCGACGAUCUGUAGCGGGUCUUAGAGGAUGAUCCGCCACACUGGAACUGAGACACGGUCCAGACUCCUACGGGAGGCAGCAGUGGGGAAUUUUGGACAAUGGGCGUAAGCCUGAUCCAGCCAUGCCGCGUGAGUGAAGAAGGCCUUCGGGUUGUAAAGCUCUUUCGGCCGGGAAAAAAUCGCUUGGGUUAAUACCCUGAGUGGAUGAUGGUACCGGAAUAAGAAGCACCGGCUAACUACGUGCCAGCAGCCGCGGUAAUACGUAGGGUGCGAGCGUUAAUCGGAAUUACUGGGCGUAAAGCGUGCGCAGGCGGUUUUGUAAGACAGGCGUGAAAUCCCCGGGCUCAACCUGGGAACUGCG